rnacentral:rRNA from 1 species
CUGACGAGUGGCGGAGGGGUGAGUAAUGUCUGGGAAACUGCCUGAUGGAGGGGGAUAACUACUGGAAACGGUAGCUAAUACCGCAUAACGUCGCAAGACCAAAGAGGGGGACCUUCGGGCCUCUUGCCAUCGGAUGUGCCCAGAUGGGAUUAGCUAGUAGGUGGGGUAACGGCUCACCUAGGCGACGAUCCCUAGCUGGUCUGAGAGGAUGACCAGCCACACUGGAACUGAGACACGGUCCAGACUCCUACGGGAGGCAGCAGUGGGGAAUAUUGCACAAUGGGCGCAAGCCUGAUGCAGCCAUGCCGCGUGUAUGAAGAAGGCCUUCGGGUUGUAAAGUACUUUCAGCGGGGAGGAAGGGAGUAAAGUUAAUACCUUUGCUCAUUGACGUUACCCGCAGAAGAAGCACCGGCUAACUCCGUGCCAGCAGCCGCGGUAAUACGGAGGGUGCAAGCGUUAAUCGGAAUUACUGGGCGUAAAGCGCACGCAGGCGGUUUGUUAAGUCA